CAGCAGUUCCGGGCCCCUCUGACGCGAGUGCCGGAUACCCGUGAUGUCGGAACUGCAAC
rfam:Rhizobium taibaishanense strain 14971 scaffold3, whole genome shotgun sequence.